rnacentral:misc_RNA from 1 species
GCCCCCCCCCGCUUGCCCUGCCGUGUGUUUAUGACGUUGUUCCCCCCUUCCUCGGCCUUAAGCUGGGGACCCGCGUAGCGGGCGGAGUUCCGUGUGGCUGGCGGCCGGCCGCGGUGGCCCGGCCGCCCCUAGCACGUGGACCUGAACACCCCCCCCCAACCGGGAGAGCCCUGGGGCGAAUGUCGUGGGCAAGGCGGCGGCGCCUCGCCCUUCCUUUGGCUGUGACCGGUGUGAUCGAGCCCCACUGUGUUGCUGUGCCGGCCCGUCGGGGUCUGGCCUGCCAUGGGGGCUGGGUUUUUGCCAGCAGGUCCUCUAGUUCAGGCACGCGGGUGGAGUGGGGGCUGCCCCGGCCUGGUUGUUUUUUUUUUUUUUUUCUUUCGUGGCCCUAAGCCGCGGCACCGAGGCAACGCGCGACGAAGGGUCGUGGGCCCAUGAAGGCGAGAAAAGGGAGAGCAUCGAGAUACGGUUGUUGGGGGGUGUGAGCCGGAGGGGGGGGCAAGCCGAGGAGGCGCGAGCCUCGUUCUUCCCGCCCCCCCCACCACCCCGGGCCCGCGACCCCCGUGACUAGCGCGGGUCGUGCGAUGCGUUGUGUGUGCUUUUUUUUUUUUUUUUUUUUCCGGUCUCUUGCCGUCCCCCGGCUUUUCCGGAGGGAAAGCCGAUCGCUGCGAGGCGGGCGAAAGCCAGUGGCCCGUGGCAUGGUCGGUGGCAUUUUCUCGAACGCUCGGAUGGGGUUUCCCUGGCGGGAGUGGGGAGUGCAACACGCGCCCCCCCCCCCUGCCCAGCGGUCCCAUCCUGCCCGUUGUCUCGCUAAGGGAGCCGUUGUCCGCGGCCACGGGGGGCACCCCGCUCCCCGUGCGCUUUGUCUCCGCCGUGACGGAGCCGUGAAAGCCGCGGAGCCGGCUCGCCGGUGUCCGCGGUCUCGGGAGCCGUCGGGGAGGCUCGGCGGCGCCAAGCCGCGGAGAGGGCCUCUCGGGGACGUGUCCCGGAUGCUCGCCACCUGUGCCCCGAGCGGUGGUGGAGCCGGCCGGCGUCGUGUAUACGCCGGGUUGCCGUUGUCUCAGGAGCAGCAUGGCCGUGGGGCCCUGGUCGCCGUUUGCCGCGGCGGCCAUCCUUUCCUGUCUGUGUCCGAUCGAUGAGGCUUUUCGGGUCGCGUUGGAGAGGGCCCCCGGCGGCCCGGCUCUUCCGGGGCUCUCUGUCAUGGGGAAGCCACGGUAGCGUCCGGUGCUCGGGCAGGGCGGUCUCCUUUCCGGUUCGCUUCCCGUCGCAGGCGAGGUGGCGCCCCUCCCGCUGCCGGGAGGGCGUCUUUACCGUCCCGGGCUGUGUGACGGCCGCGUGGCCCCGUGAGCCCACAGGUGUCCUUCCAAGAACCAUGCGAGGUGUUGCUGGUGCCGGCCCCGGUCCCGGGCAAGCCGCCCCGUGGGUGCCGGCCGCGAGCAGCGCUGGGGCGGCGGUGCGGCUGGAGCUGAGCCGAGACGCAGUGGCCAGAGAGAAGGGCGAAACCGAACCGGGAUGGCGCGGACGGGGGAAAGAGCCCGUUCCGUGCACGCGCUCCUUGGUCGCGCCGCCGCCUGCUGCCGAGCGAAGCCGCCCCGGCCGAGGGGCCUCGGUGUCCGGGCCGCGCCCGCCUCGUCGGGUCGCUGUCUCCUCUAGCACGUCCGGUGCUUUUUUUCCGCACGGCCCGGCGGGGGGGGAAGGGGGACGUGUCGGGGCGGGCUUCGCUCCCGGAGCGGGCCCCUCCCUUCGGCCCCGAACCUCCUCGCCGGCGGCCGGUCGCGCUCAGCCGCGACCGGUCGGUGGGCGGGCCGGCCUCGGGGGGCGGGUCAGCCCCAGCCGAGACCCGUUCCACGCGCCGGGCGCGUGACUCGAGCGCGAGGCCGAGUCUCGAACGCGGUGUCGCGGCCCCAGCCCCCCCCCCACCUCCUUCCUCGAGACCGAGAGAGAGAGAGAGAGAGAGAGAGAGAAGAGGGCAGGAAGGGGGAAAAAGGGGGGGGGCUCCCCGCGUCGUCCGAAGCCGAAGCUGCGCAGCGGUCCCGGCUCCUUGCCCGCGGCGUCGCGGGAAGGGCCGGCCGCCGGGGUCGGCCGUUGCCGCGGGGCGUCCCGCCUCUCCCGCCCGGCGGGCGGAGGCGGUUAGCCCCGCGCCUGCGCGGUGCCGUUCCCCGCCCCAGGCGCCGCCGGGCGCGCCACGUCGCCGGCCGCCGCCGCCGCCGGCGCCCGUCGCCGCCACGCCGCCGCCGCCGGCACGUCCGUGAUGCCGCUCCCGCGGGUCGGAGCGGUGAAAGAGCCGGGGCGGUCAGGGGUUGGCGGAGGCGGUCCGCCGGCGGGGGGUCCGGGCGUCCGCGCGCCGGUGCGCGUUACGGUGGCGCCGCCGUGGGUGGCGGC